UAUUGCACAAUGGGCGCAAGCCUGAUGCAGCCAUGCCGCGUGUGUGAAGAAGGCCUUCGGGUUGUAUAGCACUUUCAGUCAGGAGGAAAGGUUAGUAGUUAAUACCUGCUAGCUGUGACGUUACUGACAGAAGAAGCACCGGCUAACUCCGUGCCAGCAGCCGCGGUAAUACGGAGGGUGCGAGCGUUAAUCGGAAUUACUGGGCGUAAAGCGUACGCAGGCGGUUUGUUAAGCGAGAUGUGAAAGCCCCGGGCUCAACCUGGGAACUGCAUUUCGAACUGGCAAACUAGAGUGUGAUAGAGGGUGGUAGAAUUUCAGGUGUAGCGGCGAAAUGCGUAGAGAUCUGAAGGAAUACCGAUGGCGAAGGCAGCCACCUGGGUCAACACUGACGCUCAUUACGAAG
rnacentral:rRNA from 1 species